ACUGGGCAUGGUGGCGCAUGCCUGUAAUCCCAGCAGCUCUGGAGGCUGAAGCAAGAGGAUAGAAAGUUAGUUCAAAGCCAGCCUUAGAAAAGUGAAGCACUAAGCAACUCACUGAGAUCCUGUCUCUA
rnacentral:sRNA from 1 species